AAGCACCCCUUCUCCAUCCGCGUUCAGUAACUGAAUACGGAUUCACCCCGUAGUUGUGGUGUUUUCCAUAGCUGUUCCUUGCUCCUGUAUCACAACAUAUCAAGGCUGCCAAGUAAAUGAAGAAUGAAUCACCGCACACUGGUCAACAGCAGACAGGGUCCUUCCACAACCACAUACUUAUGCCAGUAAAAGCUACAGCUUUUCUCCUCCGAUCCAAGAAGCCUGGACUGCAGUCACCAUCUCAACACACCAACCAAGAGAAAGGCGGAUGGCUCAAUUCAAUAUGGAAAAUUGCACAAUAAAAGUUCCAGGACAUGAAGGCUGCAUACUGUGAACGUCAACCUUCAGGGCACCGUCCUGCGCAGAAGACUUUCUACCCUAAGAGGGAUGGCUGACCGCAGACACUCACAACCAGCACAGACGCCUCCAACCUCAGACUAGGCCCUUCACAGUUGCUGCACUUACCCACCUUCCCAGAGUUUUUGUGUGGUAAUGACAACUGUAAAUAUAGUAUAAAGUAAUGUAUCUAGUGUCAUGUGUAAUACAUUGUUUAAAUUGUCCAUACAUUUCAAUGACAGUAAA